CAGCAGCCGCGGUAAUACGGAGGGUGCAAGCGUUAAUCGGAAUUACUGGGCGUAAAGCGUGCGUAGGCGGGAGUUAAGUCUGCUGUGAAAUCCCCGGGCUCAACCUGGGAAUGGCAGUGGAUACUGGCUCGCUAGAGUGUGUCAGAGGAUGGUGGAAUUCCCGGUGUAGCGGUGAAAUGCGUAGAGAUCGGGAGGAACAUCAGUGGCGAAGGCGGCCAUCUUGGACAACACCGACGCUGAGGCACGAAAGCGUGGGGAGCAAACAGGAUUAGAGACCCCCGUAGUCCCUGUCUCUUAUACA
rnacentral:rRNA from 1 species